CUUCCCAGGCACGCAUUGGUGCACACUGACACAGUCUUGUGCCCUGCACACCCCCGAAUGCACACUCAUCUAUAUGCUCACGUGCACACACGCACACGCACACUUUUAGCUGUAAGAUGUGGUAUUAGGAAAGGAAUCAGGAAAGGCACAGACGAAACUGACCAUUUUUGCCUUCUCCAAAGACUGCAUGAUUUUAUAGUCUGUGAUGGUCCGGGUGAAAUAUCGAGUUGCCAGAAGAUGGAGUCGCCUGGGAGGGUUCCGUCUGCAUCACCCAGACUCGUCCUGAAAUUCGGUUGGGAUCCCGCGGCACGUGGGUGGCGUUCUAAAGUGGGUCAGUCCCUCAGGCUGCAGUUGGCGGUGAGGGUCCCUCCUGCAGCCACCCGGCUGACCCCAGACAUGCAGAGAAGCAAGACAAACGGCUUUCGUCGAUUUGACAAAAACCAACUGGCACGGUUCCUCUGCCCUAGGGACGGAUGCCUAACGGUUUUCCUCCCUUCUCUGAGCAAGUUUUAAACGGCCGUCUUGACAUCUUUGCUGCGUUUGACAUUUGGCAAUCUUACAGGCCAUCUCCGUUGCCCGCAUUCUCAGCCUACGGGACGCGCAGUCCUGGGCCUUCUCGUGUCUUAUAAUUUUUAAAAAUAAAUGCAUUCUGUCAUUA